GAUCCUGGGCUCAGUCUGUGCUGACUCAGCCACCCUCAGUGUCUUGGGCCACAAGGCAGAGGCUCACUGUCUCCUGCACUGGAAGCAGCUCCAACACUGGGACUGGCUAUAACGUAAACUGUUGGCAGUAGCUCCCAAGAACUGACCCCAAACUCCUCAGGCAUGGUGAUAAGAAUUGGGCCUCCUGGGUAUCUGACCAAUUCUCUGGUUCCAAGUCUGGCAGCUUGGCCUCCCUGGGCACCACUGGGCUCUGGGCUGAGGACAAGACUGAUUAUCACUGCCAGUCCCGUGACAUCUGCUGAGUGCUUG